GGCUAUACCUGCCGUCACUUUCGCGGGCGCCGCCGGUCCCUCUCCAGCUCAUUGGCGGACGCGCCGGUGACGUCAGGCCAGGGGCGCGAGCCGCGGCGCAGGGAGCCGCCAGGGACUGAGAGGCGGACUCAGCGCCAGAGGAGGAAGCGGAGUCCUGGGCGUGGAGCCCCGGGCGGGGCCCCGGCGGCUGGAGGCGGCGGCCCCGGGCGGCGGGCUGCGGUGGCCGCCGCUGGCCUGUAGGCGCUUCCCCCGUGCCCCUUGCGGCGCUGGAGCCCGUUCCCGGCUUGUCCGGCGCUCCUCGCGCUGCCGGUGGCGCUAGGCGGAGGGGUGCUGCCGCGUCCCUGCAGGAAAGGGAGCUGGAUCGCAGCGACCCGGACGCUAGACUUCCUCUUGCCUGGGAGGAGCUGUUUCGAGUGUGUGUCUCAACUUUCUGCGUCUCGGGAAAGACCCGAUGCAACUGCGUUCUUCCGUCCAAGGCCCUGCUGCUAUCCCGCCUUUGUUUUUAGCAGACCCUGUUCCACGGCUCUAGUCUCGCAUCUCCUGCUGACCCACGAAUCCUGCCAGCUUCUGCAUCCAAGUCAUUUUUGUCCUGAACUUCCUCUCCCAACCAUAUUGCCACUCCGCGCGUUUCAUAACCCCCAUUCUUAGAAGAUUUUUCUGCCUCCCGUGUCAAGGAAAAAGAGAAACUUUCUCCACUUUCCAUUGCCAAACCUACAAAGUGUUAGUCGUUCAGUCGUGUCCGACUUUUUGAGGCACUAUGGACUGCCAGAAGACUGGAGUGGGUGACCAUUCCCUCCAGGGGAGUCUUCUGGACCCAAGGAUGAAAAGUGAAAGUCGCUCAGUCGUGUCCAGCUCUUUGGGAUCCCAUGGUCUGUAGCCCACCAGACUCCUCUGUCCCUGGGAUUCUCCAGGCCAGAAUACUGGAGUGGGAGGUCCAUUCCCUCCAGAGGAUCUUCCCAACCGAGGGAUUGAACCCAGGUCUCCCGUAUUGCAGGCGGAUGCUUUACCGUCUGAACCACCAAGGAAAUCUGAAACUUACAAAGCUACUACUAUUACUAAAAACACGGAUUCUGAAUCUUCCCUCCAUCCUGCUUUUCCUCCAGUAUCAGAGUCCUAUCUUAGAUCAGUAUCUCCCUCUUCACUGGACCCGAGUCAUAGGCAUUUCAUGAACCCCAAACCUUCCUCCCCUCCAGGUGCCCUUCCAGCUGCCCCUCUUGCCUUGUUCCUACUCUCUGUAGCUGAACUCCUUGAAAGGUUGUCUGCCCACGCUUCUCUGGUCUCCCAGAUCGCACUCAGUUCUUGAUUUCUGCAUUCCACUGAAACUGUCUUGGCUACCUGCAGUUAGUAAUACAAAGGACACUGUCCUACUUCGUUAUACCUAAUCUCUUAGCAAAGUUCUUUCUUCCUUCUUAGAACACUCUGGUAAGGGCGAUAAUCCGCCCAGUUCCCCCUCCAGUCUCCUUGGCUUGCUCUGGGUCUGCUUCUUGAUAACAUACAAGUGAUGUAUUUGAAAGAUCUCAGCCCUUUGCUUUGAAGCCACAAUUUUUCCCUGCAUGAUUUAACACACUGCCAACAUUUCAGUGAAUAUCUUCCAAAUUUACAGUUCGGAUCCUUCCUUCUCUGAGCUCCAAACCUGUGUAUCUAGCUUCCUAAUCAGCUUCUCCACUUGGUUGUCACCAGGACCUCGAAUGGAACUCGUGCAAAGUGAGAGGCGUGCUCUCGCUGCUCGCUCCUCUUCAGGGCUCCCUGUCAUGGUGACGCUUCCAGUAAUUCCCCAAUCUGCCAUCACCCUUGGUAUGUUAACAAGUCACCAAGACUCUACUUGUGACAUGUGGAUCAAAUCUGAACAAUUCUCUCCUUUUCACUGCUGUGUUUAGUGCUAUGCUACUGCGUGUGCUUCCUAACCCACAUUCAGUGUUGUCACACUGGGAGAUUGUGGUCAACCACUGUGGGAGUAUCUCAGUUCAGUUCAGUGGCUCAGUGGUGUGUGACUCUUUGCAACCCCAUGGACUGCAGCAUGCCAGGCUUCCCUGUCCAUCAC
ensembl:lncRNA